rnacentral:rRNA from 1 species
AACGAACGCUGGCGGCAGGCUUAACACAUGCAAGUCGAACGCAUCCUUCGGGGUGAGUGGCAGACGGGUGAGUAACGCGUGGGAAUCUACCCAUCUCUGCGGAAUAGCUCCGGGAAACUGGAAUUAAUACCGCAUACGCCCUACGGGGGAAAGAUUUAUCGGGGAUGGAUGAGCCCGCGUUGGAUUAGCUAGUUGGUGGGGUAAAGGCCUACCAAGGCGACGAUCCAUAGCUGGUCUGAGAGGAUGAUCAGCCACAUUGGGACUGAGACACGGCCCAAACUCCUACGGGAGGCAGCAGUGGGGAAUAUUGGACAAUGGGCGCAAGCCUGAUCCAGCCAUGCCGCGUGAGUGAUGAAGGCCUUAGGGUUGUAAAGCUCUUUCACCGAUGAAGAUAAUGACGGUAGUCGGAGGAGAAGCCCCGGCUAACUUCGUGCCAGCAGCCGCGGUAA